rnacentral:misc_RNA from 1 species
GUCGGCUAUGCGCCACACACAACAGCCGCAGUAUCGACAAACGUUCACAAAACGUUUAGACGUAAUAACCAUAGUGUCACUUCACUUCUUAUUUUAGUAAUUAGACCAUUCAAAAUUUCUAUUUCCUUCGUUUUAGUUGUUUAAGUGUUAAGUGUUUUAAAUGAUGUUUUAAUAAUGCUAAGUGCCGCAACCGUAUACGCAUUCUGAAGCAAUUACGUAAUGGGAAUUAUGCUAGAGAAGUUUAAAGUUUUGCCCUGAAAUUCAACAUGGCCGCUGACACAGGAAUGGAUACUUGCCCCAGUCCGGAGAUCACGGACUCCAGGAAACGGCCUCUCGAUGGAGACUCGGAGAAUGGCGACGUGAAGCGCUCACACUUCAGCUCGGUGCAAGACUUGGUGACGGCCUUGCCACUGGCCAACGGCCAUGGCAAUAUUACGUCUCAUUUCGCCGUGGAGCCGACAUACCACUUCAAGGUUCUGGUGCCGUCCAUGGUGGCCGGAGCCAUCAUCGGCAAGGGCGGGGAGACCAUCGCCCAGCUGCAGAAGGACACUGGUGCCAGAGUCAAGAUGUCCAAGUCACAUGACUUCUAUCCUGGCACGACGGAGCGCGCUUGCCUGAUCACGGGGUCGGUGGACGGCAUCAUGGUAGUGCUGGACUUCAUCAUGGAUAAGAUCAAGGAGAAGCCAGAGCUCGUCAAGCCCUUUCCCGAGGGCGUCGACACCAAGAUGCCGCAAGAUAGGGACAAGCAGGUCAAGAUCCUGGUACCAAACUCGACAGCGGGCAUGAUCAUCGGCAAGGGUGGCAACUACAUCAAGCAGAUCAAGGAGCAGAGCGGCAGCUACGUGCAGAUCUCGCAGAAGGCGAAGGAGCUGUCCCUGCAGGAGCGCUGCAUCACUGUAGUAGGCGAGAAGGAGAACAACAAAAAGGCAUGUCUGAUGAUCCUGCAGAAGGUUGUCGACGACCCCCAGUCGGGGUCGUGUCCCAACGUGUCGUAUGCCGACGUGGCGGGCCCGGUCGCCAACUACAACCCGACGGGCUCGCCGUACGCCGUGCCCACAACCGAGGUGACCACCGAGAACCACGGGCUGGGCAGCGGCGUGGGCGGCGUGCUGGUGAACGGCGGCGCCGUGGGCGCGGUGGGCGCCGUGGGCGCGCUGUCGCUGUCUCUGUCGCUCGCGCCGCCCGGCAGCCAGCCGCCGGCGCCGCUCACGCAGCACACGCUGGACCACAUCAAGGUGGCCCUGCGUCAGUCGGGCUACAGCGAGGCGGGCGUGUCGGAGAUCUCUGCGGCGCUGGCGCUGCUGGUGAAGCACGGCGUGCUGGGGCUGGCGCUGCCGGCCGCGCUGCCCGCCGCGCCGCUGUCGGCCGCAUACUUCCCGCUGCAGCCGCAGGACUCGCCCGCCGUCUUCGGGCCCAUCGGACAAGUGGGGCUAGGGCGCGCGGGCGGCGCGUUAGAGCGUUUCGCGGAGGUUGCAUUGGACGCGCUCCGUCCCGCAGCCGUGGCGCCCAUCUCGCUGUCGGGCGGCGUGGGCGGCGUGGCGUCGUUCCCGUCGGCCGCCGGCCUGCUGCCGCUCAGCAAGAGCCCCACGCCCGCCGACGCCGGCGCCAAGGACUCCAAGAACGUCGAGAUCGCGGAGGUCAUCGUCGGCGCUAUACUCGGUCCCGGCGGGCGCAGCCUGGUGGAGAUCCAGCAGAUGUCGGGCGCCAACAUCCAGAUCAGCAAGAAGGGCACGUUCGCGCCCGGCACCCGCAACCGCAUCGUCACCAUCUCCGGUUCGCCCACAGCUAUAUCCUCCGCGCAGUACCUCAUCGAGCAGAAGAUCCAGGAAGAGGAACUCAAACGGACCCGCCACAACGCCAUCUCCAGCCUCAUGCAGUAACAGAGGUUACCACACUGCUUAUAUAUACGGCGCAACGGGCCUAGAUAGAAUGUUACAAUUUGUGUCUUCGGCCAAAAUGAAGUUUUGCGUGGUUAAGUUCAGUUGCGGAGUUUAAGGUUUGUCACAUCCAGAUUUAGAUUUUGGAGCUUUUGGGAUGAUGUCUGGCGAUUGAUUUGAUUAAUAAUGAAAGGCACGUAAGGGCGUUGACAAACUAAUCGACAUAAAGGUACGUGACCAGCGUCUCCAAUUGAUUAGUUCGACAACGUCCUAAGGUUAGGUAUUUUAUUUUGGUCGAAGGAUAGACCUGUCAGCGUGGAGUCGACCGGUCAGCGCUGGGCUGGCGUAGCGGGGUGGGCAGGCCCGCCGGUCACUCCCAGCUCGGGGUAGUGUAGUUCUAGUCAACGGUCCGCCGUGGGCCCGCCAGACAGAGCGCCAGUUACCUGAGUGUAGUUAAGAGUUUAUGUUGUUUUGUUUUACGAGAAUAUAAGUUAUAGUGCGUUGCGCGCGCUCCCGGCCCGUGGCGCGUGGCGCGUGGUACGCAGCCCAUGGUACGUGGCGCAUGGUACGCAGCCCGUGGCACGCGACGCGUGGCUCGCAGCGCCCGCGACGCACACACCUAUUUACAAUACAUAGAUUUAUGUAUAUUGAUUUUAUGCAUGUACUAUAGUGUUGAACAUAUUGGUAUAUUUUAUGUUUAUCGUGAUGACAAGUUAUUUUGUCCCGCCUAGCGGGCUUGUUAAGAUAUAAAAAAGUACGAUUGUGAUAUCUCCUAUCACGGAAAUUCCUAUUCCAUAAUACACAUUUUUAUUUUUGUAUAUUAUUCACCACGCAUACAAUUUUAUUUACAAAGUUGAUUUCAUUGUAAAUGUUACCAUUGAUAAGUUAUUUUAGUUUAUGUGACAUCGUUUAGUGUUAGAAUUGAAAUUUUGAAUUUAUACAUGUAUAUGUGUUGAAUAUUGACAAGAUAGCGAUGGUACUAGGGCCAAAUGAUAUCCGCACCAAAGUUGAUAAUUAUUAUAACUACGUUACAUGGACAAGUACACCGCUGUUGUCUCGGCCGCGAGCGCCCCGGCUCGUGAUGCUGCUCGCGGAGUUCGGCAUUCCUGAUCGAUUUCUCUCAGUGAAGAUCUUUAUUUUUUAUACAUUUAUAAUAUUACUUUGUGUUAGGAAUGUUCAUAGUUGUCGAUUUGUUUGUCGGGCUAAAUCACCUUACCUUUACAAUAAGUACAAGUAAUAUAAAAAGUUCAUGUCCAGAUUAGUAGAAAAUAAUAUAUUUUAAAGGUUUUAAAAAGCAGAUUCUAUAUAUAAUUCAAGAGGACAAUAUAAUAAAUUUUAUUUACAGUUGGAUAUAAUUGAAUUUAUUUUAGACGCGUCACCGUAGGGCCCGCGCCUCGCGCCUGCCUCCAGGCGGCGUCCGUGACGCGCGGACGCGUCGUGGUACUGGUCGCCGGUCGUGGUCGCCAGUGGUCGGCCGUGGUCGCAGCCGCCUGCGACUGUCGCGGCGUAGUUUAAGUUUGGAUUACCUAGAAGUGCCAUGAUACGCACUGUAGUACUGUCGUGCAAUAUAUCGAGUGUAACGACCCCGCGCGAGAAGGAGGGGAAAGAAGUACAAAUGAAAUCGUAAACAUAAUAAAUAUAUAAUUUGAAAUCGGCUUAACGUACGGUAGUUUGUAAGAAAAGGAAUUGAGAGACAAUUCUCAGCUAAAUCUUGAUUAAAAAUAAUAAUUAUAAUAAAUAAUUUAAAGCACUAAGUCGCCGCAACAUCGUACUUCCGUGAAAUUGUGAAAACGUUAAUUAUAAAUACGUGUAAGUAUCCCGCAGUCCAACGACAUCUCGAACUAAGUUGAGUACUGUUGCUGUAGCGCCUAGAAGCGCGCCGUAGAUGCAUUCAAGUAGAUAGUUAUUGUACUUAUAUUCAAUCUUUAGGUAUCGCUGUUCGACCUUUCUGGUAUUUUUCGACUUUCUCAUCUUACUAUACUAAUAUGUAUUCGAGGGUAGGUACAGAUAUCGUCUUGUGUCAAUUAAAGGUUGAGGUUUGACAUACUCGCGACGGCGCGGCGCCCGAUCCGACGGACUAUCGGCUGGGUCGCCUGUUUGGGACAAGGUUGCCGGUCCCGGUUGUUAGACAAGGUUGCCGGUCGUUAGACAAGGUUGCCGGUUGAUGGUUCACGCGCCGCGUCGCGUCAUCCCAGGGCGUGACGGUCUCCCGAGUUGCCUGUACGUCGAUUUUACAAGCUCAAUUUUAUCGAAACUAAUUCUCGAUUAGUCGGUACGUGUAAGUGAAUCGUCAAUUAUUCUAAAUCGUUUGGUAUCUGUCAAUGCGUUCAGUUGGCGAGCUUCGGUAGACGUCCCGGUCCCGCCCGCAGCCGCGCUCUAUACUUCGCUCUCAGCCUCCGUAGUCGCUGCAACUCUAGUUAUAAUUAUCGUAUUAAAACCGUCAUUAUGGGUAUAUAUAGAUAAUUUUAAAAAAUAACUGGAAAAAAAUGUUAAUGUUGUUAUACUGAAGUUGUUACAAUAUUUGAGAGUAUAUUAUCGUGGAUACAAAAUAAUAAUUUAGUGCGGUAACAUUACCAGAUUAAAGUUUAUCGUGUGGAAAGAUAAUAAUAGCAGCGUCCCGACACGAUGUACCUCAGGCGAGCGCAGAGCGAGAUACAGUUACUGUGAUACCGGCACCCGCACCGCACUGCACGCCCCGCCGCGCACGGGGGCGCGCAGGCCUCACCCGCACCGCACGCGAUACUCUGCGUUACGAUAAGGUUUCAAUGUUGUAGGCUAAGGUAGCUAGUUGUCAUUCUUCAUUCUACAGAUUACGGCGAGGCGGUGUCGCCGGCGCCGCCUCAUAAUUUUAAUAGCUAAAUGUUGUUGAAUUUGUUGAUAGAGUGGUUUAUUGUAAUUACCGUAGGUAGUUUAGUGGGUAUACACGAGGUGGCAGCCGUCGGGUGCGCUAGGCUAGGGUAAGGUUCGAUACUGUGUAUAGGAACAUGGCUGUGCGUUCAAGUCGAACUCAACAUUAAGACAUCAUACGCUUGUUGUGGAGGGGCGCGGAUCGCACGCGGCGCCGCCGCUGCCGGCCGCCGGGCUACGCCCUGGGCGCUCCGCCCUCGGAGCUCCGCGCGCGGCCGGCGGCGCGCUCACGUCACUAUCUGUAUAUAAUUGCAUACAUUGUUUCAUUUACGUUCUCGUUGCUCAUUGUCAUCAAUUUAUUAAAGACUGAGGAAUCAACUUGCGCAUAUUGACAUCGUCACGAAGCGUCCCCAACGGUAGGGAAUAUUGUAAUAUAAUAUAAUUGUUUGUCAUUAAAAUUGUCGCUCGGUGGACGUGGACCGGUCCGCGAGAGUCGUGUGCGAUCCCCGCGGUACACUCGCGGUUAACCUCAUUUGUAUCGAAUACUGUUGCGUCCGUGUAGGACGGUUCUCGCUAGGUUGCCUGUCCCGUUGAUUUCCGAGUCCUGCGAGUGUACAGUGUGACAGCGAGCCGGCCGGGCCGGGCCGGGCUGGCCGGGCAGCGUGGCCGGAGGGGCCGGGCCGGUGUGGCCGGAGGGGCCCGGCCGGCCGGCGGAGACGCGCACCGUGGUCGCAAGCGUUCAGUCGUUGUCUCAUCGCCUUUACACAUGUUGAGAUUGAUAUGUUAUACUAAUUCUAUUGAAUUAUAACUUGUUGCGUAUUAUAAGUAUGAUAGAGAGCGCCGCUCGGCACGUUGUAAUACGUUGAAACAUUUGUUGCUGUGCAGUUCAGCGACGGGAUUUUUAUUUUUUACUAAUAAUAUUUUUGUUAACUUGGUUUACGAUACACGGGUCUGCAAUGUUAUCUACGAGAAAUAAUCUUUAAUUAAGUUUGAAUUGAAAAUGUUGAAUAAUUUUUGAAUUAAAAAUUCGGUAUAUUUUAGUCAAAUGUUAAUUGUUUAGUUGUAUUGUCAAUAUUGAUUUUCUAAUGAAGUGUUAUUUUGCAAUAUUGUAAUAGAUAAGAGGUAAAAUGGAAGGUUACAAUGUCUUAGUGUUUAAAAGCUCGAAAACCAAUUAAAAGGUACCUUGAACAUUGUCUAUAUUAUAUUAACAUUAAAUAAACGCGAAAAAGAA